rnacentral:rRNA from 1 species
GCACGGGUGAGUAACACGUGACUAAUCUACCCUCGAGUGGGGAAUAACUGAGAGAAAUCUUAGCGUAAGUACCGCAUAACACUUACGAGUCAAAGCAGCAAUGCGCUUGGGGAGGAGGUCGCGGCCGAUUAGCUAGUUGGUGAGGGUAAUGGCUCACCAAGGCGACGAUCCGUAACUGGUCUGAGAGGAUGAUCAGUCACACUGGAACUGAGACACGGUCCAGACUCCUACGGGAGGCAGCAGUGGGGAAUAUUGGACAAUGGGCGAAAGCCUGAUCCAGCCAUGCCGCGUGUGUGAAGAAGGUCUUCGGAUUGUAAAGCACUUUAAGUUGGGAGGAAGGGCAUGCACCUAAUACGUGUGUGUCUUGACGUUACCGACAGAAUAAGCACCGGCUAACUCUGUGCCAGCAGCCGCGGUAAUACAGAGGGUGCAAGCGUUAAUCGGAAUUACUGGGCGUAAAGCGCGCGUAGGUGGUUCGGUUAAGUUAGAUGUGAAAUCCCCGGGGCUCAACUGGGAACUGCAUUCAAAACUGUUCGAGCUAGAAGUAAUGGUAAGGGUGGUGGAAUUUCCGGGUGUAACGG